AUUAAGUUAAGUUAAAUAAAAAUAAACUGUUAGUUUGUGGUACUAAAAAUAAUUAAAUUUACUUGAUA
rnacentral:tRNA from 1 species